GGCGAACGGCUGAGUAACACGUGGGCAACCUGCCCUUUGCACUGGGAUAGCCUCGGGAAACCGAGGUUAAUACCGGAUACUCCAUAUUUGUCGCAUGGCGAAUAUGGGAAAGCUCCGGCGGCAAAGGAUGGGCCCGCGGCCUGUUAGCUAGUUGGUGGGGUAGUGGCCUACCAAGGCAAUGAUGGGUAGCCGGGUUGAGAGACCGACCGGCCAGAUUGGGACUGAGACACGGCCCAGACUCCUACGGGAGGCAGCAGCA
rnacentral:rRNA from 1 species